rnacentral:rRNA from 1 species
UACGAAGGGGACUAGCGUUGUUCGGAAUCACUGGGCGUAAAGCGCACGUAGGCGGGUUGUUAAGUCGGGGGUGAAAUCCUGGAGCUCAACUCCAGAACUGCCUUCGAUACUGGCGACCUUGAGUCCGGGAGAGGUGAGUGGAACUCCGAGUGUAGAGGUGAAAUUCGUAGAUAUUCGGAAGAACACCAGUGGCGAAGGCGGCUCACUGGCCCGGUACUGACGCUGAGGUGCGAAAGCGUGGGGAGCAAACAGG